rnacentral:misc_RNA from 1 species
AUCCUCCUCGUGUCUCCCUUUUCCCUUUGAGAAUAGGAGUUGAUUGCGGGGCGGAGAAUGGUCUACCGUGCGCUUGCGCUCGGAUGGCCCAAAUUGGACCCUCGGCGACAAACGCCACGACCAUAGGUGGUUGUUCAUUUGUUCAGCUCACGUGCGGUCGUGCCCUGCGUCAUUUCCGUCAAGGGUGUAUUUAGGACCUACGGCGUUGCGCGCCCGCAUCU